rnacentral:rRNA from 1 species
GACGUAGGGGGCCAGCGUUGUUCGGAAUUACUGGGUGUAAAGGGUUCGUAGGCGGUGCGGCAAGUUGGGAGUGAAAUCUCUGGGCUUAACCCAGAGGCUGCUUCCGAAACUGCUGUGCUUGAGUGUGGGAGAGGCGCGUGGAAUUGCAGGUGUAGCGGUGAAAUGCGUAGAUAUCUGCAGGAACACCCGUGGCGAAAGCGGCGCGCUGGACCUCUUCUGACGCUGAGGCGCGAAAGCCAGGGGAGCAAACGGG